rnacentral:lncRNA from 1 species
CAGAUCUACAAUCUACAAGGGAUCCUGAGACUCUCGCCCCCACGCCCCUCUCUUUAGGAAGGGUUGUGUGUCUACUUGUUCAAGACAAGAAGAUAUUUCUAUAGAUCAGACUGGCCUUGAACUUACCAUGAAGCCUAGGGUGACCUUGAACUCCUGGUGCUCCUGCCUCCAUGUCCUGAAUGCUAGGAUAUUUGUGUGUACCAUCUCCUGACACCAAGCCCAGAAACCUGUAUGCAGUGCUCAGAGGUCAUACGUGCGUGCAUGGUGCUGGUGAGCUAAAAACUCCAGUUUAAGCAAAGCAAAAAACAGGAAUGUAUGUUUUCACUGGUUAGCUUUGUAGACUCAAGGAAAUUCUGCAAAAAAAAAAAAAAAAA